rnacentral:lncRNA from 1 species
GGCGGGACUUCCAGUUUUCCUCUGGCCUUCACUCGUUUGGAGCGCGGGGGCCGGGGCAAGACGCUGGUGCUGGAGGAUUUCUGAGGGCGGACGCCGACUGACUCGGGAGAGGUUGGCUCCUAGGCGUCGCGGUUCCUGAGCCCACCAAAGGGACAGAGUUUCAGAGCAUAGCGUCAGACCUAGUUUGCCUUCUGGGGAAGGCUGGCUCCAAGUGAGUCACUCAAUCCAUCCAUCCUGCCCGAGGGAUCACAACCAGAGAGGACAAGUGUCAGGGUCAGAAGUUUCAUCUCUCGGGUACUCUAGGUACUUAAGGCACUGCUAAAUCCUAGGAUUUAGAUUUUAGUUUCUUGCUGUUAUGUCCGGGGUUGGAGAGGUUGAAGGGGUGGGACCUUCAUCGAUGUAUUUGUCGCCGCGUUACUCAACUCCUGUUUUCCUUUAGCUCGUGAGAAGCCAGUUGGUCCAGCGGACCUAAACCUAGGACAGGUACUUGGUACUUCAUAGUCUACUUUGAAAAGCAGAUAAAAGUGAAAUACUUGCUUGGCUUUUACCUUGGACAAGGCUCUCCAUAAUAGGAUGAGUUAUCUAGAAUCCAACAGGAAAAAAAUGCCUCUAGAUUUACAUUUUCUGCUUCGACGACAGGCAUCUCAAGAAGUUUGGAGGCUUUUAAAAAAAUGCUUCUAUAAAACUCACUCAGGACCAUUAAAAUCCUAUUUUAAUUCUCACCCCCGACUCCUGUGCUGGGGAUCCGAGUAUUUUUCCUUUUUGGUGUAAAAAACACCUAAAUUUGGAGGCAAAUGAUAAAUAAGUUGGCUUUUGUUUGUU